rnacentral:lncRNA from 1 species
AUAAACACGAUAUAAACUAAAUAUAAUAUCUCUAACACUCCCCCUCAAGCUGGAGCAUACAGAUUGUAUGGACCAAGCUUGGAAUAAAUAAACACAAUUUGAAAUAUAUGAUCUGUCUUCAAGAGUGUGCGCAAUCACAUGUCGACGAACAACUAACAACAAUUUAUGGACAUUAGUGGACAACUGCGAAACUUCAAAUAGCACUGUGAAACUUCAAGUGAGAUGACUUUGAUAAAGGAGAACAAUGACAAACUCCAGGGACUAGAUUGCCAUCAAGUAAGGAUGGGACUUGCAUCAAAACUACAGGGACUGCCAUCACUGAUUGAUGGGGCUUGUAUACAGGGACUGCCAUCACUAACUGAUGGGGCCUGUAUAAAGGGACUGCCAUCAUUGACUGAUGGGGCCUGUAUACAGGGACUGCCAUCACUGACUGAUGGGGCCUGUAUACAGGGACUGCCAUCAUUGACUGAUGGGGCCUGUAUACAGGGACUGCCAUCACUGACUGAUGGGGCCUGUAUACAGGGACUGCCAUCAUGAUGGGGCCUGUAUACAGGGACUGCCAUCACUGACUGAUGGGGCCUGUAUACAGGGACUGCCAUCAUGAUGGGGCCUGUAGUGGCUAGAAGCGAUAAAACUGCAAGGACUGCCAUCAUUGACUAGUGGAGUCUGAAAACCUAAAACUUGGCUGGAAACAUACUCCCCCUCACGACGAACGACGGAAAUGACGGCCGGAGACGGUGGCUGGAGACAGUGGCCGAAGACGGUGGCCGGAGACGGUAGCCUAGAAGUAGGUUUUAGGCCUAACUCAACCCUACAAAACCGGCUUGUAAGGUGAGGUUUGCACCUCACUUAUAUAUUAUAAUUUGGCCUUAUCUCUAGUCGAUGUGGGACUUCCAACACACCUCCUUCACGCCGAGGUAUAGACAUCUCAUGCGUGAUAGUAGAAAUUGGGUGGUCCAAUAUCGGUCCGAUAACGGGUGGAAACAGAAAUGUCCACUUAAAACUCGCUAGGAUAGGCUCUAACCUGACUUUGAUACCAAGUUAAAUAUAGUGAAAAUUAUAUAUUGGAAUUAAUCCCUUGUGUUAAAUGCACACAUAGGGUUCUCUAUUUAUAAUAGAAGAAAUAUGGGCUAAGCCCAAAUACAAAUGAAUAUCUAAGAAUAAAAUAAAAUAAAAUAAGAACAA